rnacentral:misc_RNA from 1 species
CAAUAGCAUCAGAUGUUCAGAAAAAAGUUCGAUUUACAGAACCAGUUAUUUCAGACUUUAUUCAGACAGGUAAAAUAGACAUAAUUGGCUAUAGGAAAGCUAGGGAAGAAUUCAGUGUAGAAAAUAAUGAAACUGGAGAUGAAAAGAACUGCGAACAAAAAAGAAAAACAGUGCCAGAAAAAUGUAUAGAAAAGAAGCAAAUUGAUGUAAAUGAUGGAGAAAAUCCAUUGGGACAAAGCAGUGAUGCUACUGAAGAUGUAGAAUCAGAUGACCUGUCAGAAGAUUACCGUUUCCAUGACGACAGUAGUGGAACAGAUGACCUUGAUAUUGAACCGACACAGGAACAAUUUGAAAAGCCGAAUAUUGAUAUUCAGCCUGAAGAAAUUAAAGCACAACUUUCACAAGAACUCCUAGAAGAUGUUGUCCUGGAAACACCACUUAUUCCUGUGAACAAAGACUCACCAAAUGUAAAUGUAAUAGAAGAGACACCCGCAGUAUUCUCUGCACCAAAAUUCAAUAAAAUUCUUUCUAAACCUGUUAGAAAAUCAAGGAAAUUUGGGAAAGUUAAUACAUCUUUGAAGCUGAUGCUAAAGCUGUUCCAGAAACACCAGAUGUUUCUAUAUACGAACAGCAUAAAAAUACAAAAACAGGUGAAGGUGAAAUGUUUGAUAAAGACUCAGAAAUUGCUAAAAUGGAAAAAGACAAACUCCAUUCAAAGGAGGAAACAAAAGAGAAAGGUAUGACUGAUGUGAAUAUCUCAUUGCAACAUGAGAAAAUGAAUGCUGAUGUUGACAGUUUGGCAGAGUCUGAUGAAACAAAGUCACCUGAUGUAGAAUUGGUUCUGGUACAAAACACAGACAAUAAUAAACAUGAAGAAUAUGAACAGAUGCAGGUAGACAAUGACCAGGAAGCUGUUGCAGUGACUUCUCAGGAGGCCCCAAAGUAGUGAAUCAACAUUGACUCAAAACAGUGUAUCUUUACUGCAACCAAGUGCAUUACCAGCAAAGACUUUGUGUAAAACUGGCCAAAAAUCUGAUUUAUAUGAACACACAAGUAGUCAUAAAUACUGAAAAAGAAAUACAAAAACAAGAAAAACUAAACUCUAAAGAUGAUAAAGAUGCUUUAAUCUCAGAGGGUGCAAGUAAAUAAAGGCAAGGCCAAAAAAGAAAAGGAAAAGCUUCAUGCUAGAAGAAAAUGAGGAAUCUUUAGAUUUUGGGUCCUUGAGUGAAUGUGUUGUGAGUGUUGAUGAGGACUCUGAAAGUGUAAGUAAAGCAAAGAGACAGAGAGUGAAUAGGCUGCGGAGAAGUCCAAAGAAUAAAGAGAAAGUGAUCAAUGAUAAAAGUAAGAAUGACACGCACAGUACUGAUAGACUUGCAAAGGAUAUUCCAAAGAAUAAAGAGAAUGUACUCAGUGACAAAAUUAAGGAUAACACACACAGUAUUGAUAGUAUUGAUAGACUUAGUAAAGAUAAUGAAUCUGAAGUGUCAGGAAGUAUUGAAAUAAUUCCAGAUACAAUGGCAGAUAAUGAUACUGCUGUAAAUCCACUUGAAGAUAACGGUGGUAAUAAAAUUGAAAAGGACCUAGCUGACAUAGAAGGGAUAAAUAUAAUCAGAAAUGAAAACAAUAAAAAGAAAACUAAAAAAUUAAAGAUUUUAAAUACAUGUAGUAUCAACCAGUCCUCUUCCCAUGUCAUUGAUCUAAGUUCCAGUUCUGAGUCUGUUUCAAGUUUGGAGAAUAGUGGAAAAUGUGAGGAAAAAUUAGAGAGAAACUCCUGUAGAGAAAAGUAGCAAGAGGGAAAAAGGAGACAUCACAGGUAAGAAAACUUCGUAAUUCUUCUGAAACAGUGGAUGUUAUAGGUGAAACAGAUAUGACCAAUACAGGUAUUUCAGGGCAGUGAAAAGAAAGAAAACUUUGCAAAAUCUGAAAAUAAAGGAAAACUGCAAGAUGGUGACUGAAUAAAUUCAAAAAUCCAAAUUGUUUAAGAAGUCCAAAAGAGAGAAAGAAAAGAAAAUCUGGGCAGUCAGAAAAAGAUGAUGAUUCUCAACAUGACAUUGUUAGAAUUAGGCAUUUAAGUGGAAUGUUAGUGUCUCCCCAAGAGUCGCUUGUUCUGUCAGGUAUGAAAGACUCAGUAGAAGAUAUAUUUCAAAUUGACUCUGAAAUGCCAGUCAUGUAGAUCUAAGUCCAGUUGAAGGAACACUUGGACUAGAACCAAAUAGUCCAAGUUUAGAUUUAGGAACUUCUAGAUGCGCCAGAUUCUGUUGUAAAUUAUAACAAUACAAAGAGAAAGAAAAAGUCUAGAUCAGUCAGAACUUACUUUGCAUGAGACAGAAGAGAAUUUAAUUUAUAAAAAUGGUGUAAAAACUGUGAAUGAAAAAGAGCAGUCAGACUCUAUAAACUUAAGUCCUGAAAAAGAUACUGAUUUGGUCAAAAGCAAGAAUGAGAUCAGUUUGGACCAGCAUUCUGACUCGAGCCCCGAAGAAAAGAGAAGGAGGUCAGAUGUUAAAGCUGUGAGAGGUUUUUCAAGAAAGAAGAGACAGUCAGCUAUAGGACAGAGUCAGAUGUCUGGAUCAAGUUCAGGGAAUUCUAUCAUCUCUAGAACACCCCAGGCAUCGACCUCUGUGAAAUACAAGUCACCAGUUGUUAAAUUUUUAUCUCCAAAGACAGCAAAAUUAGUCCAAAGUAAAAACCUUGAGAUCGGGAAGCAGAGUGAACAGGGUGAUACAAGUCAUGAAUUAAAUGAUACUGAUGAAAUUUUUUCAGGGAAGAAUUGAAACUAAAGCUGGUAGAGAACAGCAAGGUUAAACAAAAACAAACGGACACACCAGUAAAGGCACUGAAGGAGACUAAUGUAUCAAAGUACAGCCCAUCUUUAGUGAAACAGAAAAAGGAACAUGAAGAGAAAAAAGAAGCCACAUUUGAACCAGAAGUUGUCGAGUUGAAACAUUAUGAUGAUGAGGAGGAUGAAUGUGUGCUCUCUCCAAAUGACUUACCUGAUCUUGAUGAUGAAAAUAUGGAAGUAAAUCCAGAUGAGGAAAAGGUUGCUGUGACACUAAAUCCAGACUUUGAAAUAACUAAUGAUGAACAAGUUCGAGAUAAAUUGUCUGGAAGAUCAAAAAUAUCUCCGAAACUUUUAUUGAACUCUCCUGACAAGGUAAAGAAUAUAGUUUUAAAGGCAAGCAGUCAAAAUAUGUCAGAUAGAAUUGAAAAUGAAUAUAGAACAACUAUUCCAGAAACUAUGUCUUUUGAUGAUGAUGAUGAGAAAUGUGACCAUGUAAAAUGUGACAAAACUCCAACAGGGCCAAAGACAACAGAAAACAAACAGGUAAAUCAUGUGACUGAAAAGGUUACCUCUACUGGUGAUGAUGAAAACAGUAUUGAUUCUUCCUCAAGCCCAGACUUUACGUUGGACUCUUCUUCUGAUGAUGAACAUCCAGAGGAACAAGCUUUAACUGAAAUAUCUAAGUUUGAUAAGAUUGUUGAGCAUAGCAUAGAUACAGGAAAGUCAAAUGUUCUUCAAAAUGUAGACAGGAAUGAGAGCAAAAAUGCAAAGUUUAGUUAUGAAAAAACUAGAAAGAAAAGAAGACAUAAAGGUAUUGAAAAGGAAUCAUUUGUUAAAACUAGGACUCAGGAACAUGGGGACAUAAAAGAUCAAGAUGAUCAUGAAAGUUCAGUGAAGGGAAUAGCACCAGUCAAUUCUGAAGAUAUGUAUUCAACUAGGUUAGACAGCAGUCCAGCUUCAUGCGAAGAAGUGAAUAUUGAUUCAGAACCUGUGAUAGUAGAAUCUGAUCUUGAUGGUGAUGAAAGUGAAAAUGAUAAUGAUAGAGGUGUGGGUGAUAAGGGUGGUGAUUUUGGAACAGCAAAUGAAAUCAUGGAGUUAGAUAAUGAAGGGGCAGAUGAUGAUGAUAGUGAUGAAUCAGAUGCAGUUGUAAGAAGGAAAGGAGUGAAGAGAGCCAUACUGAGUGACAGUAGCAGUGAAGAUGAAGAAGAAGGUAGCAGACAUAUGAAUAUGACAUCCUCCUCUGCAUUCUCAAGCCAAAGUGAAAAUCUCACUACCCAGGAAAGGUACUCUUUAGAGAAAGAGGUGGAGAGGAUGGCCAGGGAGAUGGAAGCUAUGAAAGAACAGUUAAGGAGGAGUAAAGAAUUGAACCAGUCGAAACAAUCUGACAAAAAACACUCGCCAAAUCCAGUGACAGUAGAUGACUCUGAUGAAGAUAUGAUUGAAGCCAAUGACUCAGAUAAUGCUGCUGAAGAUGAGGAUAUGUUUAUGUCACCACCUGCAAUCACACCAGGUGAUCUACAGAUGGACGAUGAAGAAACAUUGGAUCCAGCAGUUGUUCAGGAUGAAGAGAAUGAUGUUGUUGAUAAAGGAGAAACUGUAGAGCAGGUAGACGAGAGUCUAGCUCUGCCUCUUGAGAGUUUAACUGUACCAGAGUCUGACCCGAGCCAGUUAUCUCGCCCAGGACCUGUACAAGGGUCAGACCCAAGCCAGUCAUCUCAUCCAAAACCUGUACCAGAGUCAGACCCGAGCCAGUUAUCUCGUCCAGUUCUAGCUGACCUUGACACAAACAUCUCACAAUCAGCAGCACCAAACAACAAGAAACCAGUUGGCAUUGUUGUCACUGGACUGAAUGUGCAGCAAAUACUGAUGAAGAUGAAACAAUUUGUGACAGAACACUCAAGUUUUUCCAGGGUAUAGCUAAGAAAUGUUGGAUUGUCAAUUUCUUCUGGGUUGUAGACAGUAGGCAAGUCGGACAUCUUCUCCCUGAGGGACCAUAUGAGAUUCAAGGAGAUACAGCUAAUAAUGAAGCUCACUAUGGCCCAAGGAGGUCAAGGCUUUCUGGAGAUAAAAAGUUGUUCAAGAAGUUCCAGUUUUCACUCAUAGGUGAUAACACAUUCCUUUCAAA